rnacentral:tmRNA from 2 species
GGGGCUGAUUCUGGAUUCGACGGGAUUUGCGAAACCCAAGGUGCAUGCCGAGGGGCGGUUGGCCUCGUAAAAAGCCGCAAAAAAAUAGUCGCAAACGAAGAAAACUACGCUUUAGCAGCUUAAUAACCUGCUUAGAGCCCUCUCUCCCUAGCCUCCGCUCUUAGGACGGGGAUCAAGAGAGGUCAAACCCAAAAGAGAUCGCGCGGAUGCCCUGCCUGGGGUUGAAGCGUUAAAACGAAUCAGGCUAGUCUGGUAGUGGCGUGUCCGUCCGCAGGUGCCAGGCGAAUGUAAAGACAGACUAAGCAUGUAGUACCGAGGAUGUAGGAAUUUCGGACGCGGGUUCAACUCCCGCCAGCUCCACCA